UACGGGGGGGGCAAGCGUUGUUCGGAAUUACUGGGCGUAAAGGGCCAGUAGGCGGCCAACUAAGUCCGACGUGAAAUCCCAAGGCUUAACCUUGGAACUGCGUCUGAUACUGGAUGGCUUGAGUUUGGGAGAGGGACGCGGAAUUCCAGGUGUAGCGGUGAAAAUGCGUAGAUAUCUGGAGGAACACCGGUGGCGAAGGCGGCGUCCUGGACCAACACUGACA
rnacentral:rRNA from 1 species